UUUAAAUUUUUUAUUUGAUGGUUAACUGAUGUUUGUAAUAAAUUUUUAAAGUUAGUUUGAAUUUUUAUAAAAGCUAGAAAGAGAUACAAAUAAAGUAGUUCAAGAAAAAACGUGUAUAGCUUAGUUCUGUAUACAUUAAUUGUAAAAAUAUUAUUUAAUUACAUUUACUAAUUUAUUUAUAUAUUCAAAAAAAAUCGUUAAUACAUGUAUACAUGUAUAUAUAUAACGCAGAUUGGUACCAACAAUAUAUAAAUACAAAUAAUGAUUUUUGAAAUGUUAUGGUAUCUGCAUAUAAUGUUUAUAUUUAUAAAUAAUUAUUAGAUUUAUAAAAAAAAGUUAAAAGUAGUUUAUAACACAUCAUAAUAAGAAAUAUUUUUUUAAAGCACCAAACUUUUAAUAAAUAUAAUUUUUGUGUAAAUUUCGAGAACUACGUUUGAUUAAUUUUAACACUACCCUAAUUUUGUAUUUAUAAAAAAAAAAAAAAAAAAAAAUUAUGCUUUUUUCACAUUUAAUAGGUUUUUUUUAAAUAAAUUUAUUUUUUAAAUUAAUACAAUGAUUGACUAAAAAAAAAAAAAAUAAAAAAAAUAAAUAAAUAAAAAACAAAAAAGUUUUUAAAUAAUAAAUAGUUAAAAUUUUAUAUUUUUAUUUUAUAAUCGGAUACAUAUAUAGAUAUAAUAUUUUUUUAUUUAAGUAGCCCAUAUUAUCAAAGAACUAAACUUAAAAUGACAUUAUUGUUAAAAAUUAUUAGGCUUACUAUUUUAAUAUAUUUAUGUCAUAAUUACUGCGAAACAAUCAUUUAUAAAAAGUCGAAGAAUAAUGUAGAUGAUAAUAAUAAAAAAUUAGAUAUAGAUAAAUUAUUAGAAGAUAUAACAAAAAUAAAUAAUAUAUUACUAAAAGUGGAUUAUGACAUAGUAGAUAAAAUAAAAUUACAAGAUAAAACAAAAUUUCCAAAAAAACAAAAGUUAUUAAAAAUGCAAUCAUACAUUUUGCCAAAAAAAUUAAAAAGGUAUGCGAGGAUAUUAACAAAUAUGUUGCAAACUUUAAAAGAAGUUCAUCAAAGUUUAGAAAAAAUAACUUUUAAAUUACAUAAACGUAUGAAUAAUGACAAUAUAAAUAUAUCUACAUCGGAUCAAUUUAAUAAUAAAAUCAAAUUUAACAUAUAUAAUGUAUUAUGUAAACAAUAUUAUUACCAUUCCUUUUGGUUAUUUUUUAAUUCUUAUUUGAAUUAUAUUUUUAUGUAUCUACCCCAAUAACUAAUUUGAUAGCUCUAAUUACGUGGUUUAUAGAGACACGUAAGACUUUUUUAAGCACAUAUAUAAUUAAAACAAGAUACAAAAGAAAUAAUCAACAUAUAUUUUAAAGCUUAUAUAUUAUUUAAUCUAUUAAAAUAAAAAACAUAUUUCAUUAUAAUGUUAAACUUAC
rnacentral:lncRNA from 1 species